rnacentral:rRNA from 1 species
UACGGGGGGAGCAAGCGUUGUUCGGAUUUACUGGGCGUAAAGGGCGCGUAGGCGGCCACCGCAAGUCGACUGUGAAAUCUCCGGGCUUAACCCGGAAAGGUCAGCCGAUACUGCGGGGCUAGAGUGCAGAAGGGGCAACUGGAAUUCUCGGUGUAGCGGUGAAAUGCGUAGAUAUCGGGAGGAACACCAGUGGCGAAGGCGAAGUCUCUGGGCUGAUACUGACGCUGAGGCGCGAAAGCCAGGGAGCAAACGGG